rnacentral:tRNA from 1 species
AAUUUCUUAUUUUAAAAAAAAUUUUAAUUUGUAAAAUUAAAGAUUUAGAAUUUA